rnacentral:misc_RNA from 1 species
AUAAUCCGAAUUAUUUGAAAAAUAGUUAUAAACUAAUCAUCUUAUGUGAUAAAAUAUUAAAUUCCUAUGUUUUGCUAUGUAUAGAAUGUAUCAAAUGUUUUGCACGUUUAGUUAAUUAUAUAUUUUUUAUGUUGAAAUUGUUAUCGACUUUGCGUAAUAUUUUUAUAUAAUACUGGCCAUGGAGCCUGGUGAGAAACCUAAAUCUAAAAAAUCUGAGUAUAUUGCGCCCUUGUUGGCGGGAGCCAUAGCCGGUGUCUCUGUAGAUGUUGCACUGUACCCGCUGGACACACUCAAAACGCGGCUGCAAAGUGAGAAGGGGUUCCAGAAGUCUGGUGGCUUCAAAGGUGUCUAUAGAGGACUCUUGACAGUGGCAGCGAGUUCGAUGCCCACCACAGCGUUAUUCUUUGUAUCGUACGAGAGCACCAAGAAGGUUGUGUCGCCACUGUUACCCGUACAGUACGCCCCCAUAGUUCAUAUGUCAGCCGCUGGUAUCGGAGAAGUUCUAGCGUGCGUUAUCAGAGUGCCUACAGAAAUAGCGAAGCAGAGGAAACAGACGCAUGCGGGCAUCGCUAAGAGGAGCAGCGUUUCUAUAUUACUAGAGGCGUACAAAACGGAAGGCUUUCGCAAGGGCCUUUACAGAGGCUAUUUGUCAACUGUCGCCAGGGACCUGCCUUUUAGCUUCAUCGAACUGCCCGUUUGGGAGCUGAUGAAGAACAUGGUGAAGAGGCACAAUGACGGGAAGAUCACCAGUUUUCAGAGCGCCCUUUGCGGCUCAGUUGCCGGCGGAUUUGCAGCCGCCGUCACAACGCCGCUGGAUCUCGCCAAAACGCGUAUAAUGUUAGCGGAGCACUACACUGUGGCGCGUAAGCUGCGCAUAGUGCCCGUUCUCUCGGACAUCUACUUGGAGUCCGGCGUUAGGGGGCUGUUCGCGGGCGCAGCGCCCCGGGGCACCGCUUUCAUGCUGGGCGGGUUCUUCUUUUUCGGCGCUUACGAUUAUUGUAAGGCGUUCGUUGAGGACGCUUUGGACAGCUGAAGGUUGCUAAAAUGAUGUAUUGUAGUGUUUUUCGUCGUAAAACUAUCAGAAAGUACAUGUACGUGUUUAGUUCUGAAAGUUGCCACUAGGUAUAGCGCCACUAGUGUUCUUAGUUUUGAAUGUAACAACAAGCGCAGGCGUCAUUGUGUUUUUAAUUCCUAAAAUGACCACUAGGUAGGGCGCUACUGUGUUUUUAGUUCUUCUUAAGCGCUUAUGACCAUUGCAAGGCGUUCGUGCAUUAGAUAGACAAGUAUUUUAGUAACUAAAAUGACUAAUUAGUGAGGUGUUUUAGUUCCACAAAUGAACACUAGGUAUGGCGCCACUGUUGUGUUUAGUUCCUAAAAUGACAACUAGGUGGGGCGCCGCUGUGUUUUUUUUAGUUUCUAAAAUGAUCACUUCUCAUGGUGAUUUGGUGAAAUUAAGUUAGAUCUUAAAAUAAACGCUAAGUACGGUGCAACUAGUGUUUUUUGUUCUUAAAAUGACCACUUGAUGUGGUUGUUAUGUCGUGUUAGUGGCCAUUUUAAGAAUUUUGUUAUUAGUUUAAAUUUUUAUAUGAAGGUUGUGAAGACAGUAUAGGAGGGUAGAUAACGUGUAAUAUAUUUUAUUUGUAGAAACGAACAAUAUGUACCUACAAUCAUUUUAAAAUAACUAUUAAAUAACGUUGUAGCCGUACGUUUUUUUUAUUGUUAUAUGUAAUUAAGAUUUGACAAACUUAACGGUGCCUGUGUGAAAAAUGGUACGUACAUACAACAUAAUCAUAGGAUUUUUUAUUUGUGUAAUAAAGUGUAUUUUAUUCUUGUUGCCAUUAUCAAAGAUAAG